UCUUUCCAAUGAUCCCUAACUCAUGGCCUGAAUGAGAACGUACGUUAUCCAAACUCGCAAAUGGCAUGUGAAUAUGAUGAUCGAAAUGUAGGGUUCUUUAUUUUUAUUUUUUUGGCCAUAAAUAUACGUAACUUGUAAAUAUAAGCAAGGGACAAUGAACCGCAAGACAUGGCGAGAAUGGUGGUGGUCGGAGCUGAGACAGGCAGCCGAGCACGGAGGCGAAGUGAUUGGUUGGAUGCUUGUCCACCCGCCGCUCGAUCAUUUCAACAGUGACGAGAUUCGUUACAAGACGGCACUAGGUCUUUUAUUGUUGUGUUGGGAUUGUGGCUUGCAUUAUAAGCAUGCUUGGUGAAAAUUUACGUCCUCAUGUUCCAUUCUUAGAUUCUUUUUUUUUUUUUCGUUUUUGAAAAUAAAAUAAUAUGACUUAAUAUAUGUUGGUUUGGGUUUGGAAACUUUGAUGUAAUGGAUCAAUUUUGUCCACGAUUUAUUUGUGAAAUUAAUUUCAUUAAAUUUCAAAAUACCAAAGAUCUUAAUCCUCCCCCUCCAAAAAAAAAUAUAUAUAUUUUGUCCACAUUCGGAGUUAUUAGAUAGAACAGGC
rnacentral:lncRNA from 1 species